GAGGGUAGGCCCCUCGGAGCCGGUUUACAAGAGCGGGCUUCAAACAACCAUAAGCUGCUUUGGUAAAGAGCCAAGGUAGUGAGCGUUAUGGAAAAGGCACAAUUUAUGUGUCAUG
rnacentral:ncRNA from 1 species